AGAGUUUGAUCCUGGCUCAGAUUGAACGCUGGCGGCAGGCCUAACACAUGCAAGUCGAGCGGUAGCACAGAGAGCUUGCUCUCGGGUGACGAGCGGCGGACGGGUGAGUAAUGUCUGGGAAACUGCCUGAUGGAGGGGGAUAACUACUGGAAACGGUAGCUAAUACCGCAUAAUGUCGCAAGACCAAAGUGGGGGACCUUCGGGCCUCAUGCCAUCAGAUGUGCCCAGAUGGGAUUAGCUAGUAGGUGGGGUAACGGCUCACCUAGGCGACGAUCCCUAGCUGGUCUGAGAGGAUGACCAGCCACACUGGAACUGAGACACGGUCCAGACUCCUACGGGAGGCAGCAGUGGGGAAUAUUGCACAAUGGGCGCAAGCCUGAUGCAGCCAUGCCGUGUGUGUGAAGAAGGCCUUCGGGUUGUAAAGCACUUUCAGCGGGGAGGAAGGCGUUAAGGUUAAUAACCUUGGCGAUUGACGUUACCCGCAGAAGAAGCACCGGCUAACUCCGUGCCAGCAGCCGCGGUAAUACGGAGGGUGCAAGCGUUAAUCGGAAUUACUGGGCGUAAAGCGCACGCAGGCGGUCUGUCAAGUCGGAUGUGAAAUCCCCGGGCUCAACCUGGGAACUGCAUUCGAAACUGGCAGGCUAGAGUCUUGUAGAGGGGGGUAGAAUUCCAGGUGUAGCGGUGAAAUGCGUAGAGAUCUGGAGGAAUACCGGUGGCGAAGGCGGCCCCCUGGACAAAGACUGACGCUCAGGUGCGAAAGCGUGGGGAGCAAACAGGAUUAGAUACCCUGGUAGUCCACGCCGUAAACGAUGUCGAUUUGGAGGUUGUGCCCUUGAGGCGUGGCUUCCGGAGCUAACGCGUUAAAUCGACCGCCUGGGGAGUACGGCCGCAAGGUUAAAACUCAAAUGAAUUGACGGGGGCCCGCACAAGCGGUGGAGCAUGUGGUUUAAUUCGAUGCAACGCGAAGAACCUUACCUGGUCUUGACAUCCACAGAACUUUCCAGAGAUGGAUUGGUGCCUUCGGGAACUGUGAGACAGGUGCUGCAUGGCUGUCGUCAGCUCGUGUUGUGAAAUGUUGGGUUAAGUCCCGCAACGAGCGCAACCCUUAUCCUUUGUUGCCAGCGGUUCGGCCGGGAACUCAAAGGAGACUGCCAGUGAUAAACUGGAGGAAGGUGGGGAUGACGUCAAGUCAUCAUGGCCCUUACGACCAGGGCUACACACGUGCUACAAUGGCAUAUACAAAGAGAAGCGACCUCGCGAGAGCAAGCGGACCUCAUAAAGUAUGUCGUAGUCCGGAUUGGAGUCUGCAACUCGACUCCAUGAAGUCGGAAUCGCUAGUAAUCGUAGAUCAGAAUGCUACGGUGAAUACGUUCCCGGGCCUUGUACACACCGCCCGUCACACCAUGGGAGUGGGUUGCAA
rnacentral:rRNA from 1 species